rnacentral:lncRNA from 1 species
AUACGGAUAAUAUCCGCUUUUUCUCGGAUAUGGGUGCGGAUAUUUCGGACGGAUGUCGGAUAUUUUUGAUGGUCAUACCGUAUUGACGAUGAUUUUGGAACAAUUUUUUUAUGACUAAGCUCAAAUGAUAUUUUUAUAUAUGUAUAAAGUAUUUUAGUAUUUGUAUAAUUAUAUAAAUUUUGUAUAAAUGUAUUAUUUAAUGCAUAUACACACA